GACGAACGCUGGCGGCGUGCUUAACACAUGCAAGUCGAACGGAAAGGCCCUGCUUUUGUGGGGUGCUCGAGUGGCGAACGGGUGAGUAACACGUGAGUAACCUGCCCUUGACUUUGGGAUAACUUCAGGAAACUGGGGCUAAUACCGGAUAGGAGCUCUUGCUGCAUGGUGGGGGUUGGCAAGUUUCGGCGGUUGUGGAUGGACUCGCGGCUGAUCAGCUUGUUGGUGGGGUAGUGGCUUACCAAGGCUUUGACGGGUAGCCGGCCUGAGAGGGUGACCGGCGAAAUUGGGACUGAGAUACGGCACAGACGCCUACGGGAGGCAGCAGUGGGGAAGAGUGCACAAGGGGCGGGAGCCUGAUGAAGCAAGGCCGCGGGCGGGAUGACGGCCUUGGGGUUGGAAACCGCUUUCAGCAGGGGCGAAGCUUGUGGUGACGGUACCUGAAGAAGAAGCACCGGCUAACUACGUG
rnacentral:rRNA from 1 species